rnacentral:rRNA from 1 species
GAUGAACGCUGGCGGCGUGCCUAAUACAUGCAAGUCGAGCGAACGGACGAGAAGCUUGCUUCUCUGAUGUUAGCGGCGGACGGGUGAGUAACACGUGGAUAACCUACCUAUAAGACUGGGAUAACUUCGGGAAACCGGAGCUAAUACCGGAUAAUAUUUUGAACCGCAUGGUUCAAAAGUGAAAGACGGUCUUGCUGUCACUUAUAGAUGGAUCCGCGCUGCAUUAGCUAGUUGGUAAGGUAACGGCUUACCAAGGCAACGAUGCAUAGCCGACCUGAGAGGGUGGUCGGCCACACGGGAACUGAGACACGGUCCAGACUCCUACGGGAGGCAGCAGUAGGGAAUCUUCCGCAAUGGGCGAAAGCCUGACGGAGCAACGCCGCGUGAGUGAUGAAGGUCUUCGGAGCGUAAAACUCUGUUAUUAGGGAAGAACAGAUGUGUAAGGAACUGUGCACAUCUUGACGGUACCUAAUCAGAAAGCCACGGCUAACUACGUG